GUGGAAAUAAAAAAAUAAAAUAAAAUAAAAAAAACCAAGAGUAAAAAAUUUGUCGUCUUAAUGCCUGUAGUAAUUAUCAGGGAAUGAGAUGUCCAAGCGUAAUACUUGUUCCUUUUCCAGUCAUUGGAGAUAGACAGCUGUCUUCAUGUGGAAUAAAAGUUUGAAGUGCGGUAUGUUGGCAGGAAAGGCUAUUGUGUUGGCUGUCAUUAAACGAAAUCCCAGCCUAAUUGGAAAAUUCUCGGCACCGGUCAACAAAAGCAUCCAAGAAAAUGGUUUCUGUACUUGGACGUCGGGUUUUAACAGCAUUAGAGAAGCUCCGAUGGUCGGGUGGUAGUGGAACAAAGGAAAGAAUCAUAUUCCAUUUAAUUAUACGUGUUAGUGUGAAGUGGGCAAGAAAACUGGCGGCGGUAAUGGAUGGGCGCGGACACUUCACAUUGAUCUGGCCUCCUCACCUCCACAUUAAUCCUCCGCCUCCAUGGAAAAAUUCUUCCCCAUUUUAUCGCUUAGUUUUUCUCGGCUCGUCCACGUGACUGCUUUUGACACGAUCAUUGUAAUUAGUGGCUGCGCACCAUCUGACAAUGUGCGGUUGUAAUAAUGUAACAGCUUGUGUUUAUUCUUGCACCAGGGCUGCUCGCCUGUUAAUAUGGCCGUAGUCACUGGUCGGAUAUGUUCGAUUGAUGUAUCUGUCGGUGACUGUAUGCCUUUCAAUUAUAUAGAUCCUUACCAAAAAUACUGUCCGAUCGUAUUACUCCGGCAUCAAAAUCAAUUUAACAAACCGUUCGGAUUACCGAAUUGCUUUUCGUAAAUCGAGACCAAACUCCUACUUCCUCUUCUACUUCCAUUUUCACUUCUUACUUUUCAACUGAGUAACUAAGAACAUCCGAAGUUACAAGUAAUAAUAAUUGAUGGAGUGUUCUGUACUAAUUUGAUGAAACUGAUCUAAAUCACCUCGUUCGGUGGUCUAUUUGGUGCCCGUGAGACUAACAUUGUUUGUCAGUUCAGCCUCCUGCAGGGAGUUCCAGCUUUGGAGACGUGCCAGGGUCCAGUGUCCUCAAUGCUGCACGACAAUUACUCUUGUUAGACACAGCAUCGUAGUGACAAAUUAACGUUACAUGGCUGGCCGAUUACCUGUGUUCAUGUUGCUUUCUUUUAAUGUCAUCUUUCCUAAGAAAUAACAGUGCGUUGUGCUUAGGCAUAGACAUAAAUCUGACUUUUCUUUUUGUCCUCCCAUAAAUACUCAUAUAAUAGAGAAUAAUGGUUAUCUAUUAUGUCAAACGAAUAAUUUGUGAUAAAUCGAACGAUAUCUCGAAUUUUUUUUAUAUCUAACUAAAUACAAGUAUCUGUUUUCUUCCUCUUACUUUUUUUGGCAUUGUCGAUUUAGAUCCGUAAUAA
rnacentral:lncRNA from 1 species